UCAAAAAAUAUGAACGUACAAAAAAAAAAAAAAAAUCUCAACGCAAGAUGUCAGCAGAAGUGGAGGGGGAGGGGAGCCGCUGACGGAACUCAUAUUUACAAACCGAAAAAGACGAUAUUUUAAGUUUGUACUUCAGUAAGGUUUUAAGGAGCAACAUCAUAAAAAAUGUCCACCCCCACUGAUCCGUCAGGGGGGAUGUCCCAUCCAGGUCCAUCUCCUGGUUCGGGCCUGUCCCCUGGACCAAUUUUGGGUCCCAGCCCUGGCCCAGGCCUUUCUCCAGGUUCUGUUCAUAGUAUGAUGGGUCCAAGUCCUGGUACACCCAGUGUUUCCCACAGCAUGCCUGGCCAGGGGGUGGCAGAUUAUCAACAAGACAACAUGCACCAGAUGCUUAAGCCAAUGGAAGGUAUUCAUGACAAAGGUAUGGGGGAAGAAUUGCACUUUGGCCAGAUGAAGAGUAUGGGGAUGAGGUCCCUUCACAGUGGAAUGGGUCCUCCACAGAGUCCGCUAGAUCAGCACAAUCAAGGUUACAUAUCUCCUCACCCUUCACCAAUGGGUGUCCCUGAGCAUGCAACCAGCCCAAUGUCAGGAGGGGGCCCAACGCCUCCCCAGAUUGCUACAUCCCAGGCUGGCCCCAUGAUGCCGGUAGAUUCCCAAGCAAUUAGCCAACAGGGACGCAGCCCAUGUGCCUUCAGUCCUGUCCAACUGCAGCAACUGCGAGCCCAGAUUUUAGCCUACAAAAUCCUGGGUCGAGGGCAGCCCCUUCCAGAGAACCUGCAGCUGGCUGUACAGGGAAAGAGGAGCUUGCCAACUAUGCAGCAACAACCAACAACUGUCCCAUACAACAAGUCCCCAGGUAUGCCAGUUCACUCUAUGGGUGUAACUGGUCCUGGACCAUGUCCUGCCUCUGGGAUGCAAGGUCACACCCCAAGUGCAGGAUCAAAACCCUGGCAAGAACUUCAGAGUGCUGAUGCUGCCAGCUCCUCCCAGAAGCUUCCGGUGUCUGCUGCAAGUGGAAGACCUUCACCUGUUCCCAGUCAGGCUGUGCCGCCAACCAUUCCCAGCAUCUCUGUUACCCCGCAGCCCCCAGGUCAACCGUCACACAUCAUUCAGCUGCAACAGAAACAGAAUCGUAUUACACCCAUCCAGAAACCCCACGGCCUGGACCCAGUGGAGAUUCUUCAGGAAAGAGAAUACAGACUUCAAGCUAGGAUUGCUCACAGAAUCCAGGAGCUGGAGAAUUUACCUGGUUCUUUGCCCCCGGACUUAAGAACCAAGGCAACUGUGGAGUUAAAAGCAUUACGACUGCUCAACUUCCAACGCCAGUUGAGGCAGGACGUAGUAGCUUGCAUGCGCAGGGACACAACCUUGGAGACGGCCCUUAACUCCAAGGCCUACAAGCGGAGCAAGCGUCAGACCCUGCGGGAAGCCCGCAUGACUGAGAAGCUGGAAAAGCAGCAGAAGAUUGAGCAGGAACGGAAACGCAGACAAAAGCACCAGGAAUACCUUAACAGUAUACUACAACAUGCUAAAGACUUCAAGGAAUAUCACCGGUCUAUUACGGGAAAAAUUCAGAAGCUGUCUAAAGCCAUUGCCACCUGGCACACUAAUACAGAGAGGGAACAGAAGAAGGAGACUGAGAGGAUUGAAAAAGAAAGAAUGAGAAGACUUAUGGCUGAAGAUGAGGAAGGGUACCGUAAACUCAUUGAUCAGAAGAAGGACAAGCGUCUGGCCUACUUACUGCAGCAGACUGAUGAAUAUGUGGCUAACCUUACUGACCUGGUGUACGAGCACAAGGCUGCACAGGCUGCUAAGGAAAAGAAGAAGAAGAGGAAGAAGAAGAAAAAAAUGGAAGAGAAUCCUGAUGUGCUUGGGGCUAUUGGGCCAGAUGGAGAGCCAAUGGAUGAGAGCAGUCAGAUGAGUGAGCUCCCAGUAAAGGUGAUUCAGACAGAGACUGGGAAGGUGCUGCAGGGUAUGGAUGCUCCCAAGUCUAGUCAGUUGGAAGCCUGGUUGGAGAUGAAUCCUGGUUAUGAAGUUGCCCCAAGAUCAGACAGUGAAGAAAGUGGGUCUGAUUUUGAGGAGGAGGAUGAGGAUGAGGUUUCCAGGGCUGAAUCUGAAGAAAAAAAGACGAUUGACCCAAACAGUGAUGAGGUGUCAGAGACUGCUGCAAAACACAUAAUUGAGUCAGCCAAACAGGAUGUGGAUGAUGAAUACAGUGUGCAGACUGGAGAGAAAAGCUUGCAGUCCUAUUAUGGAGUUGCUCAUGCUGUCAAUGAAAGAGUUGAUAAACAAUCUUCUCUUCUUAUUAAUGGAACACUGAAACAUUACCAGGUACAGGGACUUGAAUGGAUGGUGUCACUGUAUAACAACAAUUUGAAUGGGAUUUUGGCUGAUGAAAUGGGCCUUGGGAAAACCAUCCAGACCAUUGCCCUGAUCACGUACCUGAUGGAACACAAGCGCCUCAACGGGCCGUACCUUAUCAUUGUCCCGCUCUCGACAUUGUCCAACUGGGUAUAUGAGCUGGACAAAUGGGCACCAUCUGUUGUGAAAAUUGCAUAUAAGGGUACCCCAGCUAUGCGAAGGUCUCUUGUGCCCCAGCUUCGUAGUGGAAAGUUCAAUGUUCUGAUCACCACAUACGAAUACAUUAUCAAGGACAAGCAGAUUCUUGCCAAAAUCCGAUGGAAGUACAUGAUUGUGGAUGAGGGUCACAGAAUGAAGAACCACCAUUGUAAGCUGACCCAGGUGCUAAAUACUCAUUACGUGGCCCCACGUCGGCUCCUUCUAACAGGCACUCCAUUGCAGAACAAACUCCCUGAGCUGUGGGCUCUGCUGAAUUUCCUUCUUCCAACUAUUUUUAAGAGCUGCAGCACUUUUGAGCAAUGGUUCAAUGCUCCCUUUGCCAUGACUGGAGAGAGGGUGGAUUUGAAUGAAGAGGAGACCAUUCUGAUCAUCCGCCGUCUGCACAAGGUGCUAAGACCCUUCUUACUGCGCCGGCUAAAGAAAGAAGUGGAGUCCCAACUGCCAGAAAAAGUGGAGUAUGUCAUAAAAUGUGACAUGUCUGCCAUUCAGAAGGUUCUGUACCGCCAUAUGCAAGGGAAAGGCAUUCUUCUCACAGAUGGUUCGGAGAAGGACAAAAAGGGAAAAGGAGGGGCAAAAACCUUGAUGAACACCAUAAUGCAGCUCAAGAAAAUCUGCAACCACCCAUACAUGUUUCAGCAUAUAGAGGAAUCAUUUGCAGAGCACUUGGGAUACCCAAAUGGCAUUAUCAAUGGACCCGAUCUCUAUCGGGCUUCAGGGAAGUUUGAGCUAUUGGACCGUAUUCUGCCCAAACUUCAAGCGACCCACCACAGAGUUCUGCUCUUCUGCCAGAUGACAUCACUCAUGACUAUCAUGGAGGAUUACUUCGCCUAUCGAAAUUUUCUCUAUCUGCGCCUUGAUGGAACGACCAAAUCUGAGGACCGUGCAACUUUGCUGAAGAAGUUUAAUGAGAAGGGUUCUCAGUACUUCAUUUUCCUGUUGAGCACCAGAGCUGGAGGUCUAGGCUUAAACCUUCAGGCCGCUGACACUGUGGUGAUCUUUGACAGUGACUGGAAUCCACACCAGGAUCUGCAGGCCCAAGACAGAGCUCAUCGUAUUGGACAGCAGAAUGAAGUGCGAGUGCUGCGUCUCUGCACUGUGAACAGUGUUGAGGAGAAGAUCUUGGCAGCUGCCAAAUACAAGCUCAAUGUGGACCAGAAGGUCAUUCAGGCAGGAAUGUUUGACCAGAAAUCAUCCAGCCAUGAACGCCGGGCUUUCUUGCAGGCAAUCUUGGAGCAUGAGGAGCAGAAUGAGGAGGAAGAUGAAGUUCCUGAUGAUGAAACUCUGAAUCAAAUGAUUGCACGUAAUGAGGAAGAAUUUGAUCUUUUCAUGCGUAUGGACAUGGACAGACGUCGCGAGGAUGCGCGAAACCCCAAGCGCAGGCCACGGCUGAUGGAGGAGGAUGAACUGCCAUCCUGGAUCAUCAAGGAUGAUGCAGAGGUGGAACGUCUAACGUGUGAGGAGGAGGAGGAGAAAAUCUUCGGCAGAGGUUCCCGUCACCGCCGGGAUGUCGACUAUAGUGAUGCCCUGACAGAGAAACAGUGGCUGCGGGCGAUUGAGGAUGGUAAUUUGGAAGAAAUUGAAGAGGAAAUACGGCUCAAGAAACGCAAACGCAAGAGACAUGCUGAUAAGGAUACUGGGAAGGAUGAUGGAGAGAAGGCAAAAAAGAGGAGGGGCCGUCCACCUGCAGAAAAGUUGUCUCCUAACCCACCGAAACUCACCAAACAAAUGAGUGCCAUCAUUGACACAGUCAUCAACUACAGAGAUGGGUCAGGCCGACAGCUCAGUGAAGUUUUUGUCCAGCUACCUUCCAGGAAAGAGUUACCAGAGUACUACGAGUUGAUCCGCAAGCCUGUAGACUUUAAGAAGAUCAAGGAUCGCGUCCGUAACCACAAAUACAGAAGUGUUGGUGAUCUGGAAAAGGAUGUGAUGCUUCUCUGUCACAAUGCCCAGACUUUCAAUCUUGAAGGGUCUCAGAUCUAUGAGGACUCCAUUGUUCUGCAGUCAGUAUUCAGAAGUGCCAGACAGAAGAUCAUUAAAGAGGAAGACAGUGAAGAGGAAAGUCCCUAUGAGGAUGAUGAAGAUGAAGAUUCUGAAUCUGAGUCAAAAUCAAUGAGAGUGAAAAUCAAGAUUGGCAAGAAGGAUGACAGAGGUUAUGAAAAGGGAAAGAAGAGGCAGAGCCGAAUUAAGGCCAAGCCUGUCGUCAGCGAUGAUGACACUGAGGAGGACCAAGAUGUUAAUGUAUGUGUGGGAGAUGUGACAAACAGUGGCUUUAGCUGAGCUUAUGGUAACAACAUUGAUCUGUUCUGAUUGAUUAUUGUAAUUUAUCAGUUACUUAUACAAUUGCUUGAUUUCUAAAUGCAUUGAUCUUUAGUAAAAAUAGCUUCAGUGUAGAUGCAUUCAUGUAAUUUCGCUCCUGUGGUAUUCUAUAUGACAAAUGGGUUAGUGUACUGUAUAUAUACUGCUAUGUCAGUCAGUUGUCUCUAAACUCUGCAACCUUGUUUUUAUGCGCUUCAAUGCCAGAGGAAAAGGAUCAGUCUGAGGCAACUGGGAGUGAUGAUGAUUGAAGGAGGGAUAACCUGAUAGAAAGAACACUGCUUUUUAAGAUAUUCAUUUUCUUUAUGAAAUGUCUGUCCUCAUUUUCACAAUUCAUAUCUGUUAUGAAGAAAAAGGAAAAAGGGCAUGACCCUCACAAAAUCUACAUAUUGGAGACUUGCAUAACAUAUAGUAGCAAUUUUUAGCAAAAUUUUCUAGUUUGUGAUUUUGAGGACAUUUUACUCUUUAUUUUCUCUUUUUUUCCUCUAUAGGUGUAAUGAUUUACAUUCUCAAAAGAAAUGAAUGUUAUACACAGCUUGCCUUAAAGAACAUCCCAUUCAAAAUAAUAAGGAUGUAGUGUAGUUAUUUGAAGUGUCGAAAAUGCAUUGUUUGGCAAAAGAAACUUAAUUUUGCUUUGUUUUCUGUUUGGAAACUUAAUACAUAGUAAAAAAUAUAAAAAUAUAUAUAUUUUCCAUGUUGCCUAUGGUCAAUCAUAGGCAAAUAAAUUUUGUUUGUAAAUAGGACAUAAAAUCGCAAUGUAAAAGGAAAAUUUUAUAGGUGGAUUAAAAUAUGGAAGGCUACAUUAUUCCUUGAUAUACAAACAAAGCAGUAAUUUUAAAUGUUUAAGUCAUUAGUUACGAUAGAUAUGUGUAAAAUCUAAUUGACAGUUUUGGAUUUUCCAAAUCCUAGUCCAAGAUUAAAGUUUUGUUUUAUGCAAUUUCUUUAACUGAUAUUGAUGAAAAAGCUUUUUGCUUGUAUUUGUAUGGCUGAUAGUCUCAGUAAUUCAUCUGUAAAACCUGGUCCUGAAGAAGAGUGUCUACAGUAUCUAGAUGUUUCAUGGUGUAUCGGUCUAGCAGCUAUCUGUAUUUUUGUAUUGUUUAAAUGAACUAUUUCAUUGAAUCUUUUGAAUGAUUGACAGUAUUUGCCUUCAUACUACAUAACAUUUAUGCUUUUUAAAGUAUUAAAUACAUUAGCUCUUAUUGUUUUCUUGAUUCUUAAGUGUUCUUUAUGGGACAUGAUGGAACAGCGUUCAUUAAAGAUAUCCUGUUCCAUUUCCAGCUACAUAAUAUCUGCAACUUCUUAAAUGUAACAGUUUUCCUUCUUCACAGUCUUUGUGGUUAUUGUUAUCCAUAGCAAAUAAAUUUCACAGCUUUUUGUCUGACA